UACAGAGGGUGCGAGCGUUUAAUCGGAAUUACUGGGCUUAAAGGGUUUGUAGGCGGCCUUGUAAGUCAGGUGUGAAAUCCCUCGGCUCAACCGAGGAAUGGCGCUUGAUACUGCACGGCUUGAGGGAGACAGGGGUAAGCGGAACUGAUGGUGGAGCGGUGAAAUGCGUUGAUAUCAUCAGGAACACCGGUGGCGAAUAGCUG
rnacentral:rRNA from 1 species